ensembl:lncRNA
GGGAAAGACCAUUAUUCACAAAAACAGGUUUGUCUGUUAUGUCAUGUUUUUCACAGCUUUAAGCUCCGAAAUUUCAAACAGCAGAAACAGCCCUCUUGAAGUAGAAGACGAGGAUCAGCACUGUAUCUUCAAAUGAUGAAGUAUUGGCUUCUGACCUCCAUUAUAUAUACACCACAACACUUGAGUGAUUUUUGAGGAGUGAGGGACCCAGUAGUGAUGGAGACUGACAUCAUUCUUGACUUGUAUUUCCAAUGCAAGAUGUGGCCUGAUGCUUUUCAGACUUCAACUGGAGAUAUCUCGAUCAAGAACAAGAACUAUAUUUUCCAAGACUCAUACAGGAAGCAGUUGGUAAUAUCUGACCACAGUAACUUGGGAAGGACCACUCAUAUCCCAGCAGAGCUGUCAGAUAUAUCUGACCUUCCCCACUUAAUAGGAAUGUACUUUUGAUCAGUUCUCAUUGUUUCAAUCAGGAGUGUAAAACUGUGAUGAAAAUGAAUGUCUUUUUUUUUUUUUAAGGGGAGGUAGUAAAAGAGCUGUUAAAGUGAUACCUAUCAGGAAAAGGGAAAAGACUGUGGUUAACAAUCAAUAGACUCAUGUUCAAGUUUGCAGUAGCUAACUUCAGUAGUAUACUUCAGUAGUAUAGUAUACUUCAGUCCUCAGUGCCAGUUCAGAUCCUCCUCUCUCCUUGCUAAGGCCUUGUUUUGAGAGUUAAAGUGGAUCACUAAAAGGCUUUAGUGAGAAUACGUUAGUUUAAUCUAUAAGAAAUCUGUGUGGCUGUUUUUAUUCAGAAGCAGUCUGUGUUUUACUCAGCUUCGUGCUUUAUUGAGGUAGAUGUGUGACCUUAGCCAAUAGGUUGUGCCUUUGUGUAUCUAGGUAAUCUUGAAAAAAUAAUGAAUAUCUAAGGGUUAACUGAGAGCUGCAAAGUUUUGUACAGGUCUUGACUGAUUAAAUUUGGUUGUUACUAUUAAAAUAAUCUGACCUUGUAAAGUCUUCAGAUACAGGCUACAGAGCUCUUAAUCUUCCCAGAGUCUCUUUGCUCAUCAUAAAAUUUUUCUCUCAUUCCUACUGAUGGUGUUGUAGAUUAUGAAAAAAAUCUAUGUUGAUAUUUAUAUAAUCACGUUGAAGAAAACCUUUUUCUUGCAGCAGUAACUUCCAGUUACUUAAACUUUCUUUUCUCUGACAGAGAUACUCCCUACCAAAUCUCUUUUUCUGGCUUUCUGCAAAUUCUACCUUGUCCUCCUUCCAGUUCUCUUCUUCUGUUCUUCUACACUAUUUCUUUCCCUCCUGUCUGCAUUUCUUCAUUAACUUUUAUUUG